UACGUAGGGGGCUAGCGUUGUCCGGAAUCAUUGGGCGUAAAGAGCGUGUAGGCGGCCCGGUAAGUCCGCUGUGAAAGUCGGGGGCUCAACCCUCGAAUGCCGGUGGAUACUGUCGGGCUAGAGUGCGGAAGAGGCGAGUGGAAUUCAUGGUGUAGCAGUGAAAUGCGUAGAUAUCGAGAGGAACACCUGCGGCGAAGGCGGGUUGCUGGGCUGACACUGACGCUGAGGCGCGAAAGCCAGGGGAGCGAACGGG
rnacentral:rRNA from 1 species